CCUUCCUACGUGAUAUACAGAUGCCAAACAAAAAGGGGGCAGGUUUAAUUUCUAGGUAGACUGUAAUAAGCAGUUUAAACUGAUUUUGUGUUGACAAUAUCACCGCUGACUGAACUGUGUAGCUGGAUAACAUUUUCUUAAACAAACUGAUAAAAGUAAAGCGGGUUGUAUUUUUUAUUAUUUUUUUUUUUUAAUCGCAAGACAAGCGAUCUAUCUUUUCCUUUCGCUGCUCAAACCGGAUCAGCUCUCCCCAAUGACAGAUUUGGCGAAAGCCGCUUUGUUGUCCAGAAGGCCCUGGGAGAUCCGGGGGGUAAAUUAGAGAGACGUUCCCGACAGCAGACGUACGAGAAGCGUUUGUAACUCGCGCUUCAGCACCGGAGGCCUUGUUGUAUAGGAAACAAAGGGGUUUAUUCGGUGUUGCAUGCAGUUGCGCGUACUAUCUGCUUUUCGUCAGUGCAUCACACUAUUCGUCACCGUGGCACCCUAUCUGCAGUCGAAAUUCGCAUCCACCCCUCCAUUGACAAUCAAAAGAUGCACCUCCGCUGUUGACCCGAUACUUCACUGGCAAGUGGCCCUGAGCCGACCCUCCAGCAAGGAUGGUGUGUGAGCUGUUCCUCCUGUCCUCCAUCUGGUUCCUCUUUGUCAUCUUCUGGAUGGAGACCAUCAGUGUCUGGCUCUUCUUGUGCAACUUCUAUCAAGACCGGGCCUUCUAUCACUGGGGAGAUGGAGUUUUUGCAGAUGACCCAGGACACAUGCUGUACAUGUUUGGAAGGGUUGAGGGCUCUGUACGAUCGCAAACAUGAAGCGAGAAGACAACUGAAGGAAUAGAAAGAAAAAAAUCUGAAAUACAUUGCAGUGUAUAUAGCAUUACCGGCAAACAACAACCCCCCCCUGAGAUUUGUGAAAUCGGGAGCUUUUUUUUUUUGUGGGGGGGUG